AUUGAACGCUGGCGGCAUGCCUUACACAUGCAAGUCGAACGGCAGCAUGGAGAGCUUGCUCUCUGAUGGCGAGUGGCGAACGGGUGAGUAAAGCAUCGGAACGUACCGUGUAAUGGGGGAUAACGUAGCGAAAGUUACGCUAAUACCGCAUACGACCUGAGGGUGAAAGCAGGGGAUCGCAAGACCUUGCGUUAUACGAGCGGCCGAUGUCAGAUUAGCUAGUUGGUGAGGUAAAGGCUCACCAAGGCGACGAUCUGUAGCGGGUCUGAGAGGAUGAUCCGCCACACUGGGACUGAGACACGGCCCAGACUCCUACGGGAGGCAGCAGUGGGGAAUUUUGACAAUAGGGGCGGAACCCUACGAUCACGCCACUGUCGCGUGAGUGAAGAAGGACG
rnacentral:rRNA from 1 species